GACAGAGGAGCCAAGCGUUGUCCGGAUUGACUGGGCGUAAAGCGCACGCAGGCGGCCCGGCGCGUGGGGUGUGAAAGCUGGCGGCUUAACUGCCAGACGCCAUCCCAUACGGCUGGGCUCGAGCCCUGCAGAGGUCCAUGGAAUUGCCGGUGUAGUGGUGAAAUGCGUAGAGAUCGGCAGGAACGCCCAGGGGGAAACCAGUGGACUGGGCAGGAGCUGACGCUCAGGUGCGAAAGCGUGGGGAGCAAACAGG
rnacentral:rRNA from 1 species